rnacentral:rRNA from 1 species
AUGAACGCUGGCGGCGUGCCUAAUACAUGCAAGUCGCGCGAACAGACGAGGAGCUUGCUCCUCUGACGUUAGCGGCGGACGGGUUAGUAACACGUGGAUAACCUACCUAUAAGACUGGGAUAACUUCGGGAAACCGGAGCUAAUACCGGAUAAUAUAUUGAACCGCCUGGUUCAAUAGUGAAAGUCGGUUUUGCUUUCACUUAUAGAUUGAUCCGCGCCGCAUUAGCUAGUUGGUAAGGUAACGGCUUACCAAGGCAACGAUGCGUAGCCGACCUGAGAGGGUGAUCGGCCACACUGGAACUGAGACACGGUCCAGACUCCUACGGGAGGCAGCAGUAGGGAAUCUUCCGCAAUGGGCGAAAGCCUGACGGAGCAACGCCGCGUGAGUGAUGAAGGUCUUCGGAUCGUAAAACUCUGUUAUUAGGGAAGAACAAAUGUGUAAGUAACUAUGCACGUCUUGACGGUACCUAAUCAGAAAGCCACGGCUAACUACGUG